rnacentral:rRNA from 1 species
GUUGUUUGGGAAUGCAGCUCUAAGUGGGUGGUAAAUUCCAUCUAAAGCUAAAUAUUGGCGAGAGACCGAUAGCGAACAAGUACAGUGAUGGAAAGAUGAAAAGAACUUUGAAAAGAGAGUGAAAAAGUACGUGAAAUUGUUGAAAGGGAAGGGCUUGAGAUCAGACUUGGUAUUUUGCGAUCCUUUCCUUCUUGGUUGGGUUCUCCGCAGCUUACUGGGC